UCUGGAGUAAAAGGNUAUGGCUCAACCAUAGUGUGCUCUGGAAACUNUCUGACUUGAGUGCAGAAGGGGAGAGUGGAAUUCCAUGUGUAGCGGUGAAAUGCGUAGAUAUAUGGAGGAACACCAGUGGCGAAAGCGGCUCUCUGNUCUGUCACUGACGCUGAGGCUCGAAAGCGUGGGUAGCGAACAGGAUUAGAUACCCUGGUAGUNCACGCCGUAAACGAUGAGUGCUAGGUGUUAGGCCCUUUCCGGGGCUUAGUGCCGGAGCUAACGCAAUAAGCACUCCGCCUGGGGAGUACGACCGCAAGGUUGAAACUCAAAGGAAUUGACGGGGGCCCGCACAAGCGGUGGAGCAUGUGGUUUAAUUCGAAGCAACGCGAAGAACCUUACCAGGUCUUGACAUCCCGAUGCUAUUCUUAGAGAUAGGAAGUUACUUCGGUACAUCGGAGACAGGUGGUGCAUGGUUGUCGUCAGCUCGUGUCGUGAGAUGUUGGGUUAAGUCCCGCAACGAGCGCAACCCUUAUUGUUAGUUGCCAUCAUUAAGUUGGGCACUCUAGCGAGACUGCCGGUAAUAAACCGGAGGAAGGUGGGGAUGACGUCAAAUCAUCAUGCCCCUUAUGACCUGGGCUACACACGUGCUACAAUGGUCGGUACAACGAGUUGCGAGCCGGUGACGGCAAGCUAAUCUCUGAAAGCCGAUCUCAGUUCGGAUUGGAGGCUGCAACUCGCCUCCAUGAAGUCGGAAUCGCUAGUAAUCGCGGAUCAGCACGCCGCGGUGAAUACGUUCCCGGGCCUUGUAC
rnacentral:rRNA from 1 species